CCUACGGGAGGCAGCAGUGAGGAAUAUUGGUCAAUGGGCGCGAGCCUGAACCAGCCACGUCGCGUGAGGGAAGACGGUCCUAUGGAUUGUAAACCUCUUUUGUCGGGGAGCAAAAGACGCCACGCGUAGCGUUCCGAGAGUACCCGAAGAAUAAGCACCGGCUAACUCCGUGCCAGCAGCCGCGGUAAUACAGUGGGUGCAAGCGUUACUCGGAAUUAAUGGGCGUAAAGAGUGCGGAGGGGGGCGUGUAAGUCAGAUGUGAAAUCCUGUAGCUUAACUACAGAACUGCAUUUGAAACUAUGAGUCUAGAGUGUGGGAGAGGUAGGUGGAAUUCUUGGUGUAGGGGUAAAAUCCGUAGAUAUCAAGAGGAAUACUCAUUGCGAAGGCGACCUACUGGAACAUUACUGACGCUCAUGCACGAAAGCGUGGGGAGCAAACAGGAUUAGAUACCCUUGUAGUC
rnacentral:rRNA from 1 species